AGUGAACGCUGGCGGUAGGCCUAACACAUGCAAGUCGAACGGCAGCACAGUAAGAGCUUGCUCUUACGGGUGGCGAGUGGCGGACGAGUGAGGAAUACAUCGGAAUCUACUUUUUCUUGGGGGAUAACGUAGGGAAACUUACGCUACUACCGCAUACGACCUACGGGUGAAAGCAGGGGAUCUUCGGACCUUGCGCGAUUGAAUGAGCCGAUGUCGGAUUAGCUAGUUGGCGGGGUAAAGGCCCACCAAGGCGACGAUCCGUAGCUGGUCUGAGAGGAUGAUCAGCCACACUGGAACUGAGACACGGUCCAGACUCCUACGGGAGGCAGCAGUGGGGAAUAUUGGACAAUGGGCGCAAGCCUGAUCCAGCCAUGCCGCGUGGGUGAAGAAGGCCUUCGGGUUGUAAAGCCCUUUUGUUGGGAAAGAAAAGAAGCAGGUGAAUACCCCGCUGUUCUGACGGUACCCAAAGAAUAAGCACCGGCUAACUUCGUG
rnacentral:rRNA from 1 species